rnacentral:lncRNA from 1 species
CGGUUCUUGGUUGAAAGGCAAGGGAUAAUGGUUGUCUCUGAGGAAGACUAGUGCUACAAUAUUCCUCUUAUGGGGCCUAUCUUUACAACAAAUGCAAAAGUAUGACCAAUAAUUGGGCCUUGACAAAUUGUGCAUCUGUGCAAUGAUCAGUGUCAGGUUUCUUGGAAGAAGUUUAGUCCGGGCUAGCUUUCCAUUGUUUGAUUUCUCUAAGUGACCUCUCCCUACCAAGGCCAUUGUUUUCUCAUGUCAGGAAUUCCACAAUAACAUUCUAAAGACCGACAACUUGAGGAAGGGCAAUUUCAUUGGACCUGUUGUUUGUAUUCUAUGCCAUAAGGAUGAUGAAACACAUCAUGUGUUGCUUCAGUGAAAUUUUUCUAAACAAAUCUGGUUUCAUUUUACUGUUUUUGGCACGUGGCAACUACCUGUAUCUGAUAAAUGAAUAAUUAUUACACUUAAUGGAGAGCUACUUCCUUGAAGAAGGAAUGGAGAAAUGGGUCUGAUUUAUUUUGGUGGUUUUAGCAUGGCAGAUGCGGCUGGAGCAUAAUUCUCAAGCUUUUUCUAAUGCUGCUAAGGGUCUUGCAGAGGUGUUGGAUUCCACUUUGCUUCUACUGUCAGAACAGAAGAGUUUGCUUCAGGAGAAAAGGUGCAGCUGCAUCAUGUGUUUUCUACACUAAGUCUAGGGUAUCUAUUCCUGUAUUGGCUUUUGAAGCUUGUUUAUUUUGUUUCUUUCUUCCUUAUCCUAUAUCUGAGCACAUCCCUUGUGCUCUUAUUUAUUAUUUGUUCUUAGUAAUAAAGAUUUGGUCUUUGCGCAUGUCACAUCUCAAAUCUAGAACAUGACAUGGCCGUACUAUCAUGGGGAGUCGCCCAUGAUAACACGAAGCUCACAAAAGAAAAUCUGUAUAAAAAUUAUAAAAUAAUAAAUAUGGUCCAAAAUUUUUUUCCAUUUAUUAAGCAAAGAGGUGCGGGUCUAAAUUAGAUAUUCAAAGCUAUAAACUUAUUAUUUCAUGGUCACAACCUAUUUAUUAUUAGCCUACUACUAGCUUUGAAGCUUAUUAUCUCGAACUUUUUUAGCUUAUCCCUCCUAGAUCCUAGAAGCCUAAUGCAUCUGAAAAGAAUAAAAAAAAGGAUGAGCUUUACAACUCGGUAAGUAAUCAUACA